rfam:Apaloderma vittatum contig31606, whole genome shotgun sequence.
GGUCGGUUAGCUCAGUCGGUUAGAGCGUGGUGCUGAUAACACCAAGGUCAUGGGUUCAAUCCCUGUUCAGUCCC